rnacentral:lncRNA from 1 species
CAAACUAAAUAUCCAUAAACAAAUAAAAAAAAUAUAAAUAAGUAAAAUAAGGAAAAUUUCCUACAAAAGGGGGAAGUAAUAAACAGGUUCCCCCCUUUCCUGCAACAAAAAAAAAACGUGGGGUCAGUUAAGAGAGGUUAAGAGAGAGUGGCAGGAAGUCAUGCCCUCCAUCUUUCCCCCCACGUAACAAGCUCUAGAACUCUCCUAUGAUGCCUAUAAAUAAGCAUCAGCUGCAACAAAAAAAGGGAGUCAGAAAAAAGAGAGGGGAUACUCUGCAGAAAAAAUAGAGAAACAUUGAGAGAAAAUACUCAAAGCAUCAAGGUGUUGCCAGGAAAGAGAGCAUGCUAUUCAACCAUUUUGUGCUUUUGAAUCAAGAUCUAAAAGAAGAACAUUCAUCACCAGGUAUGAAGCAAGUUCUGUUAAAAUUAUUUUUUUUCUCUUGUUUGAUGUUAUGUUGUAGGAAGAACAAAAAAGCAUUGCGGCAGCAAACACAAAAAUAAAAAGCUGCAGACAAACAAAAAAUGAAUGAGGAAAGGGAAAUAAGCAAAGGCAUAUAAGACCUUUACCUCUUUGUUUGGCGUUCUUCACCAAUUAAAUGGAGUUGGAGACUAAAUAUCCACUGACUCCCCCAGCUGCAGCAGAGAUAAUCUCCAAGAAUCCCAUGAAUUUCUUCGGGGUGGCCUAGACCACCCCGUGAAAUUUUAACCAAGUUUAAAUGGUCUACCCCUUCGCCAAAUUGUCAAGUGCAGUUUCAAAGUUCUAAGCUUAAGUUCCCGAGAAAUAAGACAGCAAGGAGGCAACAUAUACAAAGAUGCAACUCAAGAAAGAGAAAAGAAAUUAUUCUAUUUGGUGUUUUUGCUACGCACGGGUACAAAACAUGGAGGAUGCUUUUGGCUAAAAAUUAUAUGAAAACUUAUUGGGGAUAGAGUCCAAGAAAAAGGAGAAAAUGGAAAAGAUUGUUUGCAAAGGAAAAAAACUUCCCCUGACCGACACAUGCUUGGAAAUUCCCCAAUUCAAGAAGAAAAGUAGGAAAAUAUGCUCUAAAGAGAGUGACUAAAUGAAGAAAAGUUUUCUGUAAAAGCUAAAGAAGCUGGUUAUCAUGUUUGGAAAAGCUAAAGAGAGUAAGUGCAUGUGUUGACAAAUAAACAAAGGAAAAGAAAUAAAAAAUUUUGAUGAUGACAAAAGAAAAGUCCCAACACAACUUUGAUAAAGACAAAGAAGGAAGGAGACGUGAAGAAGGUUCAAAGCCUUGAAAUGCUACAAUUGUGUCAAAGUUUUGAUUAAACAUUGUGUCAAAGCUUUGACCAAAGAAAGACAUUGAAAUGCUACAAGACAAGGAAAGAAAGGGCAAAUUUCCCAAUCUUUAAAUGGUCAAGCAACCUUCUUUGCCACGUGAAGAUGGGAUAAAAACUUUCAUUGUGUCAAAAAGUUUCACUUGCUUCUCUGCCAUGUGAAUGUUAAAAAAAAAAAAAAGAGUUUAAAGCUUGAUGUCAAAACUUCCCAAAAUUAAUUGGGAAACUCAUUCAAGGCAACCUAUGUAUCAACACCCAAAGACCUAAUAUGCAAAUCAGUUUACACAAGUACAAACAAGCAGGACAAAAUUAUCAUGAGCAUGGUUGUUUGUAAAGCCACUCGCCAGAUAUACAAAUGGAAAAGUAUAAUUCUAUUCCAAUUAAACAUAGAAGGCAGCACACAAAUACAGCAAAUAUUAUGAGGGUGCCCUACAAAUUUUAGAGUGCAAUCCUCACCUUUGGAGCCAUGAAUCAACACUUGUUUUCAAAGUACUGCAAAAUAGUAUGUCCAACAACCAAAUAGAAGAGUGGUCGUUGCCUGGGAUGCCUGCAUGAGAUAAUUGAUAAUUUCAUUGCAGUUAGAGUUUCAUAUAACUCCAAAUACAUAAGCAAACCCAGAACAUAGAAAACGAAAACGGGAUGACUUACCUGAUCUCCACCCCUCUUCGUUUUGAGCUUUCGAUCCACAAAAAGAAACACAAGCAAAGGGGUAAGAGCAAGAAUGCAAGGCAGCAGAAAAAAAUGAAAGCUUUUUGUGACCUGCGAAAAAAUGGGUUUGCGAUUUGAGGGGGAAAUAAUGGAAAAUCGAAGUAAUUUGAACAAAGAAUCUAAACUACAACAAACCUUACCCAUUCUCACUUUGAAAUCCACGAAUACCCAAUCCAAAUAGAAGUUUGAAUUAUGACGAAAUCCACGGAACCCAAGUAUAUCGGGAUUGCUAACCGUUUCGGGACAGAGACCACCGAGUCUGGGAGCUAAGUAAAGGAUGGAUCUCUAAGGCAUUUCACGGGGUAUGAAUGAAGUCCACCUCACGCGAGGGUGUUCUCACAUGGAGAAGAAGAGAGUUUGUUGAAACAGAGUCCUAUUUGGACUUAGAAAGUCUUAAAGUUACAUAAAGAAAAUAAUAAUGCAACUUGCUGUCAGAUUGGAAAGACACUUGGGUCAAAUGAUUCAAAGCCCCAUGAUAAAUAGAAGAAUAGGAAAUACAACAAGAGGACAAGGCCCCAUCAAGUUCCACAUAAAAGAAAAUAAAAGGGUGGAUAUGACGUGGUCUUAAAAAACAUCCCAGAUUGUCAUACUCAAAUUAAUGGGUCAUUUACAUUACCUAUUAAAUAUUCAAAUCCAAUCCAAAUAGCUUCUCAUUUUCCCAAAGGUCUGAACACAAGUUCAAAUCAAGUUACGAACUACGCUGGUUUGAUUCCGUUAAGGAUACGUAGGCAGUUUGAUAUCAAUUUUCAGACACAACGAUGAAAUCAAAUAACGAACUACGCCGGUUUGAUUCCGUUAAGGAUACGUAGGCAGUCUGAUAUCAAGUUAUAGACACAACCGUGAAACCGAAACGAAUCCCUGGUUUAUAUAAACUAAAUUCACUCCUACUAUCAAAUACCAAAAUGGCACGAAGCCGAAGAAGAGUUUCAAAGUGGCACGAAGCCGAAGAAAAAUCUCAAAUGGCAUGAAGCCACAUCAAAUUUUCAAAUGCUCAUCGCCCGCAUGAGCUGAAACUGCAUAAGGCACUAUGCUCCUCGCCUGCAUAAGCUAAAACUGCACAAGGCAUCAAAUCCAAAUAAGUACCAAAUCCAUGAACUACGAGUGACUUGAUCCCUCAAGAGGGUACGUAGGCAAUCUAGGAUUCGACCUAGAUGCAGUUACAAAAUCAAACAAGCACCAAAAUCCUCAAGUUACAUUUUAUUCGAAAUGGAAUCAAAGGGUAUUUCUUUCCCAAAAGGAAGGUUGUAAUUAAUAGGUGCGUAGCCUAGAAUGGGUCGAACUCGAAUUAAUAAAACCCUCUUCGGAAAAAUGAACGAGGGUGAAAUUGUGUUGAGUAAAUUAUUUGUUUACAUAUUAUGUACAAUUUUUGCUCAACAGAGAGAUUGAAAUAGAUACUAUUUGUGGAAAAGAAGAAAGCCAUGAUAUGAUGCCUAGUGCCAUCGUCUUGGACUUAAAUAGUGUACAAGAAAUACGUCCAGCUCUCUAAUAGGUGUUUGUGAAAGAUAGGACAAUCAUAAUCCUUUAAAUCUUUGGGCAUUGUAUAAAUUUGAAAAUCUCUAAAAUGAAGAAUAUAGUGGAGGAUGUUUUAGGUGUUUCUUGGUUUCUCGAUAAAUGUUAAAUAUUUGGGUUGCUCGUUGAUUUUAUGUAAUACUACUUGUAUAAGUCAUGUAAUUUGUUGUUUCCCUUACUUGAUAUUCAAGUUGUUGAAACCUUCUUAUGGUGGGCUGGCCCAUAGCCUGUCAAACAAGUUUAACAGGCCAGGACAGCUCAAUUAACAAAAAUUUUCCACGGGUUCGGAUCUUUGCGGAGAUUACUCCCUAACUAGAAAAUGUGCCCGUGCUUCACUGCAGGAAUAAUGUAUUAGUCGGAACAUGCAUAAAUAGUUUCUACACAAAGUAACUAAAAUGACGGUACAAUACCUAAGAACCAAUGAGGUGAUACUUUGCUUGCUAUAUAUGGAUAUGCAUGCUAUAAGAAACAACUAAUUUGCUUUGUCAUCACAUUAUAGUAAUCAGCCCACUCCAUGCGUGAAAAACACAGAAAAAAAGCAAACAGAAAAGUAGAAGACACAAUACUUGAGCAUUUGGCAAGAAUAGCAAGCUUGUGAAAAAAUUGCUAAACCUCUUACAAAUUCAAUCGCCAAACGUUAUACUAUAACCCAAGACAAAGACAAAGCAUAUAGUUUGUUUACAAAUCAAAACGAACCGUUGCAUAAUGUGCGAUUGAAAAAAAUGCUUCUUAAUUCGGUCUUGCAAGAAAUGAAUGCAGUUUGAAAACAACCCAGAAAACACCCCAUAAAUCUUUACCACCCCAAUCUUACUAAAUAGAAGCAUAAAUGGACAAUCGAGAACUUCAUCAAAUAAACAACAAUAAAAUCUAAUGUAAUCUGUCAAAAACCAAAAUAAAAAAUA